AUGACACUUUCUCACAGUUUCAGAACACUAUCUUUACCAAGCCAUGAUGCAAUUCUCGGUUAUGAUUGGUUUACUGCUGUUAGCCCUGUUGCUUUUGAUAUUCCUGCACAACAAUUCAGUUUUACACAUGGGGGCAAGCAAACUGUGUCCACAGCUGUGUUCACUACUCCUGCCAGUGUGAAAGAGGUUCCUCCUAAGAAAAGGGACAAAUUCAUGGACAAAGGGCCAGAGGUUUUCCUGUGUCAAGUUCAUAACAUACUCAUGGAUGCACCUGAAGGUUUUAAAACUCCACCACAAAUACAGAAAUUACUGCUAGAGUAUGCAGAUUUGUUUGAGGAGCCUAAAACACUACCCCCUCAUAGGGCUUUGGACCAUACAAUUCCAUUAGUGCAAGGGGCUGCACCACCACAUGUCAAACCUUACAGGGUUCCCCAACACCAAAAGAUGGAAAUGGAGGAGAAGAUAAUUUUUUACUAG
rnacentral:rRNA from 1 species